rnacentral:rRNA from 1 species
GACGAACGCUGGCGGCGUGCUUAACACAUGCAAGUCGAACGGAAAGGCCCUGCUUGCUGGGUACUCGAGUGGCGAACGGGUGAGUAACACGUGGGUGAUCUGCCCUGCACUUCGGGAUAAGCCUGGGAAACUGGGUCUAAUACCGGAUAGGAGCCAUUUUUAGUGUGAUGGUUGGAAAGUUUUUUCGGUGUAGGAUGAGCUUGCGGCCUAUCAGCUUGUUGGUGGGGUAAUGGCCUACCAAGGCGGCGACGGGUAGCCGGCCUGAGAGGGUGGACGGCCACAUUGGGACUGAGAUACGGCCCAGACUCCUACGGGAGGCAGAAGUGGGGAAUAUUGCACAAUGGGCGCAAGCCUGAUGCAGCGACGCCGCGUGGGGGAUGACGGCCUUCGGGUUGUAAACUCGUUUCGCUAGGGACGAAGCUUUUUGUGACGGUACCUAGAGAAGAAGCACCGGCUAACUACGUG